rnacentral:rRNA from 1 species
GCUAGCGGCAGGCCUAAUACAUGCAAGUCGAACGGUAAGGACUCGCUUGCGAGUCACACGAGUGGCGCACGGGUGCGUAACGCGUAUGCAACCUACCUUCAACUGGAGCAUUGCCCCGAGAAAUCGGGAUUAAUACUCCAUAACAUCCAAGGAUCGCAUGGUUUUUGGAUUAAAGUCCCGACGGUUGAAGAUGGGCAUGCGUGACAUUAGUUAGUUGGUGAGGUAACGGCUCACCAAGACCACGAUGUCUAGGGGUUCUGAGAGGAUUAUCCCCCACACUGGUACUGAGACACGGACCAGACUCCUACGGGAGGCAGCAGUAAGGAAUAUUGGUCAAUGGACGCAAGUCUGAACCAGCCAUGCCGCGUGCAGGAUGACAGCCCUAUGGGUUGUAAACUGCUUUUAUACGGGAAGAAUCCCCUGUACGUGUACAGGGUUGACGGUACCGUAGGAAUAAGCAUCGGCUAACUCCGUGCCAGCAGCCGCGGUAAUACGGAGGAUGCAAGCGUUAUCCGGAUUCAUUGGGUUUAAAGGGUGCGUAGGCGGGAUGAUAAGUUAGUGGUGAAAGCCCCCGGCUUAACCGGGGAACUGCCAUUAAUACUGUCAUUCUUGAGUAUAGUUGAAGUAGGCGGAAUGUAUCAUGUAGCGGUGAAAUGCUUAGAUAUGAUACAGAACACCGAUAGCGUAGGCAGCUUGCUAAGCUAUAACUGACGCUCAGCAC